AACUCCGUUACACUGGUGGCAAGUGGUGGGAUAGCUUCCUAACCGUGGGAAAACCAGCACUACUGCAGUAUGGAAGACAAGUACUGCCAGGCAGUAUCCGGCUUCCAGCAGUGACUACAGGAUGUACUGCGCAGUGUGGAGUACCCUAUCCCAGAGGAUUGGGUGGCACUUCGAACCGAUCUCUGGAAGGAGGACCUUUACGAAAUUCGACCCUUUCGGAGUGAGGAAAUCCUGACCACCAACCAGCGCCAAGCAGAAAAGCUAGAGCUGCGGAUGCCGUACCUGGGAAACCAGCCCUCAAAGGAAUGGGUAAGCGAACUGGAGACGCUAGUUGAGACUGAGGUGUGGCUGGAUGAUUCCUACCAGGCCAUGCAGUGGCAUGCCUACCACCUCUACCCGGGGCUAAUAGAGUAUUAGUCUAUCCAAGCUGAGCGGGCAGACAAUUGGGACCUUACUGAGAUCGCUGCCAUUCAGCCAGACCUAUCUUUUCUUGCCAACCGGGAGUGGGAACUAGAACAGGAUUAUGUUUGCCUAUUCCAAUGGGUAACGCUGCCUGUGUCUUACAUGAGGGGGCUUAUGGACUGGAUACCAUCGGGAGCGUUGAGUUUUGUCCCUCCUCCACAGAAACUAAG